ACUUGGGGGGAAAACUCCGGGUUUGCAAGAGAAAGACGGGCUUAUUACGCUUUUAGUUUUCCGAGAGUAGAGAAGCGAACGAAAAGCCCCAGGUCGUUCGGAGUAAUGAAAGUAAUGCGGAUGCUCAUUUUUGGGAUAACCUCAUCACCAUGAAAGAUAUCAUCAGCCUUGGUACUCCAUUUCAUCACUACCUUCUGCUUCUCUCAAAAAGCAACGGAACUGUGGUCUCCAAACUUCCAUUUAAGGAAAAUCUCAACAGAAACAUCUUAUUUCUCUCCUGGCCAUAUAUCUUGGGACUUUUCUGACUUGAUCCACUUCAUCAUGUUCCCCUCUCCUGGCUUUUCAACUUCUUUUUUUGUGUUUUGUUUUCCCUCAUUAGAUAGAUUGCAAGCUCCUGGAAGGUAGAAAUUAUCUUUUUGGUGGUGAGGAGGGUAUUUGUAUCCCCAGUGCUUAGCAAAAUGCCUGGCACAUAUUAGAUAUUUAGUAAAUGUUUGUUGACUGGCUCAGCAUAAGUUUCCUCAUAUAUAUAAGUGAAAGGGUUUGUUAAACCAUACCAGGGGGAACUUCAUGAGUACCUCUACUAAACGAAAAGACUUCCAGCAACUAUGAGCCAUGAGUAUUCUCCUUCUAAUUCCUACCCCAGUCCCAAUAACUCUUUAAAUAUAAGCUCACUUUUCUCUGGACUCUACAUGUACUCAUGGAAGAGUAUUGCAGAUUUUUUUUUGGUGUAAUAAGAAAAGAGGGUGUUUUGUACCAACUAUUCCUGUUGUAGUAUCCUAACAUAAUUUUUUUUAAACUUAUCCUUUACUAAAAGCUAAAAAAUAAAUUAAAGAAUUGAACUAGAUAAUCCUUCCAACUGAAUCCUCUGAUACUAAAUCCUCUGAAACCACUUCUUCAGGUUCUCCAUUACCCAGAUGGGCCAGAGCCAAAUGUCUAACAGUACAAUAUAAUAAAAUACAAUAAACAGUAAGUGCCCAAUCUAUGCCAACCACUCUGUUAAGAACUGAGGAAAUGGAAAAAAGAAAGCCAGUUUCUGCCUUCAAGAAGCUUAUAAUCUAAUGGGAGAAGACAGAAAAGGAAAUUGAAAUGGAGGUACAGAGACAGUUUUCACUCAGAGCAAAGAUAGGAAACCAAACUGUACAACUGGUGGGAAAUGAAGCCUUAACUGAGUGUCUGGACUCUCUUUAGAGGGAAGCUUGGGAGUUUUAUGCUCCUCUUUCUAAGCCUCCAAUCCAGAGGGACAGAGGAAACUGAGGGCAUAGAUGAGGUGUGAGUACCAAAACUGAAGCAAUCUCUGUGACAUUGAAUUUCCUGAUGAUGAGUUUGGGGGAUAGGGGGUAGGGAGGAGACAUGAUGAAGGUGAAGCAGAAAUGAAACAUUAUAGUACCACCUGCUCUGUCUUCUGAGAGGAAAGGAAAUAAUAGUUUGCCUUCUGUAAAUAUCCUCAUGACAACCUUUCAAAUAGUUGAAGUCAGCUCUCAUACUUCUACCUGAAUCUUUUCCUCUCCAGAUAAAACAUCUUAAUUCCUUCAACUAGAAUUCACAUAGCAUGAUGUUGAGAUAACUAUCUUGGUUGUCUUUCUCUAGAUUAGUGGUUUUUAACCCUUUUUUGUGUAUUGUGGGCCCCAUUGAGCAAUCCAGUAAAGUGAAUGAACCACUUAGAAUGAUGCUCAUUGCUUAUAUUUAUAACAAAAUUUAUAAAUUCCAAUUAGAGAUUAGAGAAAACAAAUACUUUUUUUCCUAUUUGGACUCAUAGAUCCCCUAAAAUCCAUCCAUUGAUGGGUGUUCAUGAACCCUUGGGUAAAAACCUCUGUUCUCAACACUUUCCAGUUUCUUAAUGCCUUUCCUCAAAUGUGGUAUUCUGAACACAAUAUAGUAUUCCAGAUGUGAUUUGAUUAUGACAAAGACCAGGGAAGUGUUUUUCCCUACUUUUCUUCUAAUGUUGUAUUAGUUUUCUUAUUUAUAAAAUGUUAGGAAAUAGGGAGAAGGGUUGGACUAGAUGAUCUUAAAGAUCCCUUUCAGCUCUAGAUGAUAAUCAUCUAGAAACUUAGGAUAGCACUGUUUUUUGUUUUUGCUUCCAUGUCAUGCUGUUGAUUAACUUUGAACUUUCAGUCAACUAAAAUGUCAUAUCUUUUUCAGACAAAUUUCUGUUUCACUGUUGUUUCCCCAUGAAAUCAUGACAUUGAUUUCUUUUAACUUAAGUGUAAGACUUUAUACUUACCUUAUUAGAUUCCCUUUUUAUUAGACUGGGCCCAACCUUCUGGAACCUUUUGGAUAUUGAUUAUUAACCAAUGUGUUAACUACGCCUUAUAGAUUACCCUGGAUAUAUGAUAAACCUACAGAAUUAUUAAUGUAGUUUGUCAACCCUGGAAAAAAUCAAGGAGAAAAACAGUUUCUACAGUAGUUAUUUUUAUUUACUUAGAGAAUUCUGACACAUGUGCCAGAACCCAGGCAAAGCUAAGUUCAUUAAACAGAGAAAAGACUUCAAGUUACAUAGUUUUUCAUUUGUGGAAAAUUCAAGAUGAGUAAUCUAGAGGUGCUAUAAUUCAUAUAACUGGAAAUACUCAAUGUCCAUUUGGAAUGUGAUCUACCCAACUUUUGUUUAUCAGGACUCUGAACUUAGUCCUGAUAAGAUAAUAGGGAACAACCUUGGAGUAAUUUGUAAGAUUUAGGGGCUUCUUUCAGGGCAAAGGUGGUAUUGACUCAUGUGCAGGAUUUAUGCUUGAGACAGGCGCCUCAGGUUUUAUAGCCAAGAGAAGUUAACUGAUUAUCUUGAAGUCUCCUCCUCAGAUUCAGUUUAGUGGGGUCAUUAUCAUAAUGCCAGGUCAUAUAGAAUCAAUUAGAGAUGCCUGGAAAAAUGUAUCCUGGUCAGACUCCUCCCCUUGGUCACUGUUAGUGUCACUUCCACAAGUUGCAAACAACAUAGAGCUUUUGAGGAUAGGCCCCUGGAAUAAUAAUAUUUACACUAGGUAUCUAACAGAGUUGUAAGAAAUACUUAAGAUAAUGUGUGAGUACUUUGUAACUAUUAAGUGCUGCAGGGUAUCCAAGUUAGAAAUCAGCAAAAGCUAAGUCUGAAAAGGCAGAGAGACAGAGGCAUCAAAAAAAUAAAA